AACGAACGCUGGCGGCAUGCCCAACACAUGCAAGUCGAACGAGACCUUCGGGUCUAGUGGCGCACGGGUGCGUAACGCGUGGGAACCUGCCCUUAGGUUCGGAAUAACUCCCCGAAAGGGGUGCUAAUACCGGAUAAUGUCUUCGGACCAAAGAUUUAUCGCCUUUGGAUGGGCCCGCGUUGGAUUAGCUAGUUGGUAGGGUAAAAGCCUACCAAGGCGACGAUCCAUAGCUGGUCUGAGAGGAUGAUCAGCCACACUGGGACUGAGACACGGCCCAGACUCCUACGGGAGGCAGCAGUGGGGAAUAUUGGACAAUGGGCGAAGGCCUGAUCCAGCAAUGCCGCGUGAGUGAUGAAGGCCUUAGGGUUGUAAAGCUCUUUUACCCGGGAUGAUAAUGACAGUACCGGGAGAAUAAGCUCCGGCUAACUCCGUG
rnacentral:rRNA from 1 species